UCGAUCAUGGCUCAGAUUGAACGCUGGCGGGAUGCUUUACACAUACAAGUCGAACGGCGGCACGGACUUCGAUGCAGUGGCGAACAGGUGAGUAAUGUAUGGAACGUGCCUAGUAGCGGGGAUAACCAUGAAAGCGUAGCUAAUAUACGCCCUUCGAAGCCCGGAGACCUUCGGAGCUCGCACUAUUAGAGCGGCCGAUAUCGGAUUAGCUAGUUGGUGGGGUAACGGCUCACCAAGGCGACGAUCCGUAGCUGGUUUGAGAAGGACAACCAACCACACUGGGACUGAGACACGGCCCAGACUCCUACAGGAGGCAGCAGUGAAAUUUUGGACAAUGGGGAAACCCUGAUCCAGCCAUCCCGCGUGUGCGAUGAAGGCCUUCGGGUUGUAAAGCACUUUUGGCAGAAAGAAGCAGCGGGAUAAUACCCGUGCAACUGACAAUUACCUCACAGGAAUAGCACCGGCUAACCGGCCUUUAGCAGCCGCGAUGACCACGUAAGUGCAGGCGUUAAUCGGAAUUACAGGCGUAAAGCGUGCGCAGGCGGUUCGGAAAGAAGAUGUGAAAUCCCAGAGCUUAACUUCAGAACUGCAUUUUAACACACCGAGCUAAGAGAAUUAUGUGUCAGAGGAGGUGGAAUUCCGCGUGUAGCAGUGAAAUGCGUAGAUGUCGGAGGAACACCGAUGGCGAAGGCAGCCUCCUGGGAUAACACUGACGCUCAUGCACGAAAAGCGUGGGGAGCAAACAGGAUUAGAUACCCUGGUGAGUCCACACCCUAACGAUAUCAACUAGCUGUUGGGGCCUUCGGGCCUUGGUAGCGCAACUAACGCGUGAAGUUGACCGCCUGGGAGAUACAGUCGCGGAUUAAAAACUCGAAAAUUUGACGGGGACCCACACAAGCAGUGGAUGAUGUGGAUUAAUUCGAUGCAACGCGAAAAACCUUACCUACCCUUGACAUGUCUGGAAUCCCGAAGAGAUUUGGGUGUAACUCGCAAAACCGGAAGACACAGGUGCUGCAUGGCUGUCGUCAGCUCGUGUCGUGAGAUGUUGGGUUAAGUCCCGCAACGAGCGCAACCCUUGUCAUUAGUUGCUACGAAGGGCACUCUAAUGAGACUGCCGGUGACAAACCGGAGGAAGGUGGGGAUGACGUCAAGUCCUCGCGGCCCUUAUGGUGAGGCCACGUCCUUAAUGGUCGGGACAGAGGGUCGCCAACCCGCGAGGGAGCAAUCCCCGAAACCCAGUGUGGUCGGAUCGCAGUCUGCAACUCGACUGCGUGAAGUCAGAAUCCGCUAGUAAUCGCGGAUCAGCAUGUCGCGGUGAAUACGUUCCCGGGUCUUGUACACACCGCCCGUCACACCAUGGGAAUUAGGUUUUACCGAAGUAGUUGGCCUAACCCGUAAGGAGGGCGAUUACCACGGUAGGAUUAACAAGCUGGGGUGAAGUCGUAACAAGGUAG
rnacentral:rRNA from 1 species